GACAGAGGGGGCAAGCGUUGCUCGGAAUCACUGGGCUUAAAGGGCGCGUAGGCGGACUGGUAAGUCCGGGGUGAAAUCUUUCGGCUCAACCGGAAAAGUGCCUUGGAAACUGCCAGUCUCGAGGGGGGUAGGGGCCUGUGGAACUUCGGGUGGAGCGGUGAAAUGCGUUGAUAUCCGAAGGAACGCCGGUGGCGAAAGCGACGGGCUGGACCCCUUCUGACGCUGAGGCGCGAAAGCCAGGGGAGCAAACGGG
rnacentral:rRNA from 1 species